GACGAACGUUGGCGGCGUGCUUAACACAUGCAAGUCGAACGGUGACCUCGAGAGCUUGCUCUUGGGUGAUCAGUGGCGAACGGGUGAGUAACACGUGAGUAACCUGCCCCAGACUCUGGAAUAACCCCGGGAAACCGGAGCUAAUACCGGAUACGAGACGGAGUCGCAUGGCUACCGUCUGGAAAGUUUUUCGGUCGGGGAUGGACUCGCGGCCUAUCAGCUUUUUGGUGAGGUAACGGCUCACCAAGGCGACGACGGGUAGCCGGCCUGAGAGGGCGACCGGCCACACUGGGACUGAGACACGGCCCAGACUCCUACGGGAGGCAGCAGUGGGGAAUAUUGCACAAUGGGCGAAAGCCUGAUGCAGCGACGCCGCGUGAGGGAUGACGGCCUUCGGGUUGUAAACCUCUUUCAGCAGGGAAGAAGCGAAAGUGACGGUACCUGCAGAAGAAGCACCGGCUAACUACGUGCCAGCAGCCGCCGUAAUAC
rnacentral:rRNA from 1 species